GACGAACGCUGGCGGCGUGCUUAACACAUGCAAGUCGAACGGAAAGGCCCUGCUUUUUUGGGGUGCUCGAGUGGCGAACGGGUGAGUAACACGUGAGUAACCUGCCCUUGACUUUGGGAUAACUUCCGGAAACUGGGGCUAAUACCGGAUAGGAGCUCCUGCUGCAUGGUGGGGGUUGGAAAGUUUCGGCGGUUGGGGAUGGACUCGCGGCUUAUCAGCUUGUUGGUGGGGUAGUGGCUUACCAAGGCUUUGACGGGUAGCCGGCCUGAGAGGGUGACCGGCCACAUUGGGACUGAGCUACGGCCCGCACUCCUACGGGAGGCAGCGGUGGGGAAUAAUGCCCGACAGGCGGCAGCCUGACGCCCCGACGACGCGUGCGGGAUGACGGCCCUCGGUUUGCACACCGAUUUCGCCCGUGACGAAGCGCGCGUGCCGGUAAUGGGUAACGAAACAACGGCUCCCCACCCG
rnacentral:rRNA from 1 species